UAGGCCGAUCAGGGUAGCUUUUCUUGAAUUGUCGAUUGGUAUAUUGGAAUUGAGCUUGUGGUCACACCGACAACUCACAAAAAAUAUUCGUUAAAAAUUUUGUGCUACAGUUCAAUUGAAAAGAAAACAUGCCAAAAUUUAAAUAAAGGCGUUAUCCGCCGCGCAGGCGGCUUGAUGCGGAUUCUCGAGAAGACAACGAGAACAGGGAUAUAACAAUGGAGACCAAUAACAAUGGAGGAAAUGGGAUGUUGUUGACACAGCCCCCCUUAAGUUCCAAGGGUUUGUGAUACUAGAUGGUUAUCCAUUGAAAUGGCAGUAACUCGAAUUUUAGACCAAUGGCAUGAACUGAAAACUCACUUUGGAAUUGCUGCUAUGAGUGAAAAUGCAAAACCGCAAAAAUCCUGUACGAAUCUUUCUGCGAAAAAAAACUAUUUGAACUUGGUAUUUUUAAAGCCUAUAUUGCAGGACAUGCAAAAAAUCAACUUGUGCUUCCAAAGUAAUUCGGCUAAUGCGACGAUGCUUUUGAGUGAUCUUUUACUCGCUAUCAGAUCAUUACGACAGAAAAUAAUUCCUCCUGAUAUUGAUGUUGAUGUUAUUAACGAUGAUAACUUCAAAAAGCUCGUCAAAAGCGAUUUAGGCCUCGGUUACGACAUGGAAAAAGAAGUCAAAUCAAUUAAAUAAGAAAGUGAUGUUCCGGUUUUGUAGUAGAGCUGACCAAAACAGUUGAAGCUAAGGCUUCCGGACAAUUUUAACAUAUUAAAAACAGAUUGAUGCAUUCCCUGUUGAAAAUCAAAAAGAAACAAAUCUCUCCAAUCCUUGAGUAUUUUGGUACUCCUAAUAUAGAUAAAAUUGAACGAUUGUGCAAACGACAUAACCCUGGUAGAGUGGGAAAAUGUCGAUGAUACAGUUAAGUUCUGGGCUGAAGUUCUUAAAUAUCGGGAUUCUGGCGGAAACUGCCGUUUUUCAGGAAUUGGUUUUAGUUGCUCUGCAAAUGCAGUCCCUGCCUUGGUCGAAUGCCGACGUCGAGCGGGUAAAGCCAAGUAAAUUUAAUAAAAACGAAAAUUCGAAAUAGUAUGAGCUUUGAAACGUUAAACGCUAUACUGAGUAUAAGGUACGGGCUGCGUCGACGCAAUAUGUGCUGUUUUAACUACAAUGUACCACCCAGCUGCCUAUCUACAAUUGAAGAAAAGAAAUUUUAACCAACUGAUGAUGAUGAUAAUAUAGAUCUUAAUAGAUCUUAAUUUUGUACAUUAGUGUUCCUUCUACCCUAUGGGUAGGCGGGUAUUAUAACUUUGUGUCGUCAGGAAAUGUAUGUAACAGGUAGAAGGAGGCAUCUCCGACCCUAAAGUAUAUAUAUUCUUGAUCAGCGUCAACAGCCGAGACGAUAUAGCCAUGUCCGUCUGUCCGUCUCUGUGUCUGUGUGUCUGUCCGUCUGUCCGUAUGAACACCUAGAUCUCAGAGACUAUAAGAGAUAGAGCUCUAAUUUUUUUUUCGACAGCAUUUGUUAUGUUUGCACGCAGAU